AUAUAGUGCUUAGAAAAUUAUAUCAAAAAAUCAAAAAUUUAAUAAAACCUUGAGCGAAUUAAUUCUUCUGCAUAAUGAAGCCCGAGAGAGAAUCAUUUUCAACCAGUGAAGUAUACGCUGUUGGAGAUUGGGAUAAACUAAAGCUGCUUAUGUGGAAGAAUUGGAUUCUUCAGUGGAACCAAAAAAUACAAAUUGUAUUUGCCCUGGUCCUGCCAGUUUUGUUUCUUUGUCUUAUUCUAGUUCUUCGCAUAAUUGUUUUGCCCGAAAAGAAGGAUGAGAUCCGCUACCCAACCGUAUCUAUAUCGGACCUGAACCUUUAUAUGAGGAUGGUACCACUUGGAAAUAGGAUAUUGCACGAGAAUGGAUCAGUUAAUAUACCUCGAAACUUCAUUUGCUAUACUCCAAAUAACCCUAUCAAUAGUGCCAUCGUGGGUGCCACUGCGAUAAGACUACGACUUCUGGGCAUUAGACCCUAUGACACCGCUCUGCACAUGGAACAGGAUAUGAUAUUGCACAACUUCUUGGCAGGAGUUCAGUUUGAAGAGAGCGAGAACGUGAAAACCAAUGAUGCAGGGUAUCCACUUAAUCUCAAUUACACGCUGCGAUUUCCCAGUGAGCUGCGAACCAUGAAAGGCCCAAUCAUAGAAACCUGGCGUACUUCCCGUUUAUUUCUGUCCUACGACACAAGUGGAUCCCGUAAUAGAUUGGAGAACGAUGGAGGAGUUCCGGUCGGAUAUAUAAGGGAGGGCUUUCUGCCAGUCCAGCAUGCCCUAACCAUGUCCUGGCUGGCAUUGGCAUCGGGAGUUACGGAUAAUGCUAUGCCAGCCAUACACCUUCAGCGCUUUCCCUAUAGGGCCUAUACCUAUGACCAAUUGCUGAGUGGCCUGCGUCAACUAUUGCCCUUCGUAAUCCUGCUGAGCUUCAUCUAUCCCGCCUCGACUGUGACCAAGUAUGUGACCAGCGAAAAGGAACUUCAGCUCAAGGAGAUAAUGAAAUUGAUCGGAGUUCACAACUGGCUUCAUUGGGUAGCGUGGUUCGUCAAGAGUUACAUAAUGCUCAUGCUGGUGGUAUUUCUUAUCAUGAGCCUGAUAAUGGUGAAGUUUUACGCUUCCGUAGCCGUACUUCCAUUUUCCAGCUGGGUUCCGGUUCUAUUAUUUCUACACACCUAUGUUGUUACUAGCGUAUGUCUAUGCUUUAUGCUAGCCGUUUUAUUUUCAAAAGCCACUACAGCCUCGGCAGUGGCUGCCAUUUUCUGGUUUCUCACCUAUAUACCCUAUUCUUUUGGCUACUAUUAUUACGAACGUCUUAGCCUCAUGAGUAAGCUGCUCAUAUCGCUGAUAUUUUCGAACUCGGCCUUGGGAUUUGGCAUCCACGUCAUAGUAAUGUGGGAAGGAACCGGAGAGGGAAUCACUUGGACGAAUAUGUUUCACCCCGUCUCAACAGAUGAUAGUCUUACGCUGUUUUAUAUAAUCAUGACAAUGAGUUUGGGAUCAAUAAUAUUCUUAUCUAUUUGCCUGUAUGUGGAGCAGGUGUUCCCUAGAGAAUACGGUGUACCCCGCAGGUGGAACUUCUUGUGCCACAAAAACUAUUGGCGACAAUACGUGCCAAGUUUGAAUAUUGUUCCCAGUUUCCAAACCAUCCUACAUGGAUCCGCAAAGGCAAGGAGCUGUCGACGUCCAAGGGAGGUGGGAAUUCAUUUGGUUAACCUGCAAAAAACCUAUGGCGAACUAAAAGCGGUCAAGGGUAUAAGUUUAAAGAUGUAUCGUAACGAAAUAACCGUGUUACUCGGCCACAAUGGUGCUGGUAAAACCACAACGAUCAAUAUGAUAACUGGUAUAGUUAAGCCCACAAGUGGAACGGCCAUAGUAAACGGGUAUGAUAUACGAACCCAUCUGGCAAAAGCUCGUGAAUCUUUAGGAAUUUGCCCUCAGAAUAAUAUACUCUUUAAAGAAAUGAGCGUACGGGAUCAUAUUAUAUUCUUUAGUAAGCUGAAAGGAAUUCGAGGUGCCAAGGCUGUGGAAAAUGAGGUGGGUAAGUAUGUGACCAUGCUGAAAUUGCAGGAUAAAUCAUAUGUGGCUGCCAAAAAGCUAUCUGGUGGCAUGCAGCGUAAGUUGUCCCUAUGUUGUGCUCUAUGUGGAAAUGCCAAGGUGGUUCUAUGUGAUGAGCCCAGUUCUGGAAUCGAUGCAGCCGGUCGCAGGAGUCUUUGGGAUCUAUUGCAAAGCGAAAAAGACGGACGCACCAUACUGUUAACCACUCACUAUAUGGAUGAAGCUGAUGUCCUGGGCGAUCGCAUAGCUAUCCUAUCUGAAGGGAAACUCCAGUGCCACGGCACCUCCUUUUAUUUGAAGAAGAGAUUUGGCACUGGUUACCUAUUGGUAUGUAUAAUGCAGAGUGGCUGUGAUGUUGGAGCCGUAACCCAGUUGAUACGAAAGUACGUUCCUCCCAUUAAACCGGAGCGCGUGUUGGGCACUGAGCUAACCUAUCGCCUGCCCAACGAGUACUCAAAGAAGUUUGCAGAAUUACUACAGGACUUGGAUGAUAAGUGUGCCCAACUGCAGCUGGUGGGUUACGGCUUGAGCGGAGCCACUUUGGAAGAUGUUUUUAUGGCAGUCAAUACCGAUAAAAGGGUUCAAGGUGGAGCAGAAGUGCCUCCGGCAGACGGAAGUACUGAUUUCAAAGAACUAGUUUUUGAUAGCAAAACGAGAGAGAACAGACGUUUCCGCCGUUGUUUUAUGUUUUGGCAGGCUCUCUUUCUUAAAAAGUUCUAUACCACCACUAGGAAUUACUGGCUGCUGGGUAUUCAGCUGAUCCUGCCCAUAGCAGUCAUGGCUCUGACAAUUCUGAACUCACGAGGUGGUAGGAUUUACUACGAACUACCUGCUAUGCCCAUAUCUAUCAAUCAGUAUGGUUCCGCCUAUGUUGUACUGGAGGAUAAUACAACUGAUAAAUCUUCGUCCUUGGCCGAUGCUUACUCAAAACACUUGGAGCACUACGGCAGAAGGUGCACGUUGCUAAACACUGGCGAUCUGAAGUUUGAGGACUACAUACUAAGUCAUAACGUAAAUCAAAGUCGGCGUAUUGAUUUCCAUUUCCUAGCAGGACUCACUGUAUCGGAUAAAAAUUUAACCGUGUGGCUAAACAACAAGCCCCUGCACACGGCUCCUUUGACGCUCAAUUUAUUGCACAACGCCCUGGCUAUUAAAUUGCUCGGCCAGGAUGCUUCUACUUACGUAACUAAUGAGCCUUUGCCAUAUAGCGAUGAUACAAGAACUUUGAGACUGAAUAAGGGACAAGUGUUGGGCGCUGAGAUAUCUAUAAAUUUAUCCCUAACCAUGUGCUUCAUCACAGCCUUCUAUGCGAUUCCCAUCAUAAGAGAACGAGAAACUCGAGCCAAACUCUUGCAAUUCUUGAGUGGAGUUGAUGUGUGUGCCUACUGGACAAGUCACAUUGUUUGGGAUUACCUAGUAUUUGUUCUCUCGGCGUUAUCUUCCAUACUCACCAUUGCCGCAUUCAAGGAGAUUGGCUACAUAACACCACUAGAUCUAAGUCGGUACUUCUAUAUGCUGCUGGUAUUUGGAUUUCCGGGUAUUAUGCUAAGUUAUGCUGCAUCAGGAUGCUUCUCCGAUGCGGCCACAGGGUUUACUCGCAUAUCCAUUAUUAAUGUCUUAAUGGGAACUGGGCUCUUUUUGAUGUUCAUGACCCUGAAUUUUGAGGCCUUUCAGCUGAAGCAUGUGGCCGAACAACUAGCCUGGUACUUUCGAUUAUCUCCACACUACAGCUUGGCCAGCUCCACUCACAGCAUCCACAUAGGAUAUAAUAUUCGACGCGGCUGCAGUAUGAGUGGCAUCAGACAGUUACCAAAACAACUGCGCUGCCGAAAUAUUCCCAUUUGCUGUGAUAUUCCAAGCUACUAUGGCUGGCGAAAGCCUGGUGUUUUGGCAGAAAUCACAUAUAUGAUUAUGCUUGGAUCUACAUUAUUUUUGCUAUUAGUUAUUUACGACGCCAAGAUAUGCAAUCUUAUUGUCGAAAAAUUGGCCAAUUGUUUUUCGAAGCGAAAACAUGUUGAAGGAGGAACGUCUGUCGAAAACGAUAAUGUAGUAGCGGAACAACGUGUAGUCCGAGAAAUGAUAAACUCAGGACGAAAAGAUGUACCUCUUUUGGUCUACAAAAUAAGCAAACGCUAUAGAACCAAACUUGCAGUUAAGGCCAUUUCGUUUCAUGUGCCCCAUGCCGAAUGUUUCGGACUUCUGGGUAUCAAUGGAGCUGGUAAGACCUCAACCUUUAAGAUGCUAGCUGGGGAUGAGAAAAUAACCUCUGGCGAAGCCUAUAUAGAUGGCAUCAAUAUAUCAACUCAUAAGGUUUAUCGGAAAAUCGGUUAUUGUCCCCAGUUUGAUGCAUUGUUCGAGGACUUAACUGGUCGCGAAACCUUAAAUAUUUAUUGUCUUUUGCGAGGAGUGCGACGCCGACAUGUAAAGCCCAUAUGUUGGGGACUGGCCAUAUCCUUCGGAUUCGCCAAGCACAUGGAUAAGCAAACGAAGCAUUACAGUGGUGGAAAUAGGCGAAAGUUGAGCACCGCCAUAUCGGUACUUGGAAAUCCAUCGGUCUUAUAUCUGGAUGAGCCCACCAGUGGCAUGGAUCCUGCCGCAAGACGACAACUAUGGCAAAUAAUAGGCCUGAUUCGAACUGCUGGAAAAUCCAUUGUUCUGACCUCGCACAGUAUGGAUGAGUGCGAGGCUCUGUGCAGCCGAUUGGCCAUAAUGGUCGAUGGCGAAUUCAUGUGCUUAGGAUCGGUGCAAAGCUUAAAGAAUCAGUACUCGAAGGGCCUGAUCCUUAAAGUUAAGGUCAAACACAAAAAGAAAACUUUUCAACGGGUUGUGGAAGAUUCAUCUUCCUCAAAUGACAAAAAAUCCGUUUCAGAAACUGACUUUAAGUUUCUUCAAAGGGCUUCUGUUAUGGAAAGUUCUCAAACAGAUCGAAUUUUAAAGGUGAAUCGAUUUAUAUUAAAAGAGAUUCCUGACGCAGAACUCAAAGAUGAAUAUAAUGGACUGAUUACAUACUAUAUACCACACGCAAAAACAUUGUCGAAAAUAUUUCAACUCCUUGAAACUAACUCACAUAGGCUGAAUAUUGAAGAUUACCUAAUUAUGCAAACACGGCUGGAGGAAAUCUUUUUGGAUUUUGCGUCAAAACGACAUAGUUCAGAUAUCUUUACUAAACGGAAACGUUGGUGUUGCUAAAUAAUUUGUUGCGUUGUAAAUUCAAAUACAUUUUAUACAUUUUUCAUAAUUGGACGUGUUUUGAUUAUUAGAAGCCCCUAAGCUAUCUUCUUCAUUUGCCUGUCUGUGAAAACAUUCCUCAAUGCCAUGUGUACUAAUUGCCGACCAGGACCGACUCCUCAGGUCCUGCCAACCCCUCACAAGAUGUCUCAAAUGCUCGAAUUCCCAGUUAAUUCGCCACAGGCUAUUCCUUGCAGCUGCUGGCAGGAGCGCUUAAUAUCUUGUUUAUUUAUUGCAUUCUGCGCGUUUAAUUAACACUUAAUCCCUGUUCUCGUGAUGGAAUAAUUCAUCUUCAUAAAUAUGCGCUGCAUUCUCCACUCGGUUUUUGGGUAGGAUGUGGGUUCCCGGGCGCUUAAAAAGCAUUAAGUUGCGCAUCGGACACAGCACGACACGCCCCUGAGCGCCAUUAACUCAGGCCAGUGGGCGGUGGGUGGGGCACGAAGUGGACACAAUGGGAUGGCCACAGCCAUAAACACACUUAUA
rnacentral:misc_RNA from 1 species